CCUCAGAAGCUGAAGAGGUCAUCCUGCUCUGUGCCGCUGCUGUCAGGCCAGUGUCCAGGACCUGAGGGUUUGUCCGAGACUGGGCAAGCCUGGAAGGCAGAGCUGUGUGAGCCGAGAGCCUGGGUGAGGGCUGGCGCGCCCCAGGGUCAGACGCGAGGGGGCACCAGUGGGGAACAGCAGGGCACAUGGCCCAAGAAGGAAGCCCCCGGUGCAGGGGAGGUGGAGUAACCUCAGAUCAAAGCACCUCCCCUUGAGAGUCAAACAGCUCAGAAAAGUCAGGGGCAGCCAGCGGUGCACCCACCCCCGGGAGAGGCCAGAGCACCCACUCUGUGCCCCAGCUCAGUCAGGACAUGCCCAGGAAAGAGGAGAAGGGGCUGGUAAAGGGAGCAGCGGGGGUGGGGGUGGGGUGGGGAACAAGCUGUGGGAGGGAACACGGAAGAUUCUUUGGCUAUAACUGUGUCAACACCGUGCUGUUCGAAAAAUAAAUUUACAAAGGGAGACAACCUACAUGUCCAAAAGAAUAGGGGAGAGUCAAGUAAAUUAUAGCAGCUUCCCUUAAGAGAAUGUUAGGCAGUCAAUGGAAGAGGUGUUUACGAGGAGCUUUUAACAGCCUGGAGCAAUGCUUCUGACACAUCGCUGUUAAGUGAAAAAUCAGGAUCCCAAAAUGCAAAUACGAUGAGCUGAUCAAUGCAAAAUAAUGUAUAUGUAUAGGAUUAGCAUGAAUUAAGCCCAAAACUCUGGGCUGUGGGAUUACAGGAUGGUGUUACUUUCUGUUUAAUGCUUUGCUGAUUUUCAAAAUUGUUAAUAAAGGGCACAUGAUGCUCAAAAUAAUGUGGAGAAAGCAAACAAAAGAUUUUCUUCAGAGGGCAGGUGUCGUCAGCCAGUGAGGCAGGGAAGGUGUCACUGUCGCCCUCGCCCCAGGCUGGACCAAGGGGUUUCCACUAGUCCCUGGCAAGAAGGAGGCAAGGAAGAGGAAGGAGGAGGCAGGAGGGCAAAGACCCUGACUCUGUCCCCACCCGCUGGACCAAAAAUCGCUGACUCCAACCCCAAACAAAGCCCCUGAUGUGGGAGGGCUGUAGGAGGCUGCUGAGGGUCUCAAGUGAGAAAGGGAGGCCUGACAGACGGGGACCCAGGGCUCGGAACCCUGACCUGCCCAGGCCUCUCCUCAGCCACAGCCUUCUCAGUGGCAUGUCCCCAAGCUGCAGGGGGCCACAAGGAUGGCCCCUGGGAAAACGGGGAAAUGCCACCAAAGGCUAUACCAAAACACCUCCUCACUGUGCCUGACCUUCCCUGCUAUGGAACGCUUCACGAGCUUCAUUAAACACUUUCUCCCUUCCCCUGUUCAUAAACACAGACCUGUGGAGGGAGCAAAGCCUGUAAAAAAAAAAAAAAGCCCAUUUUUGAAGGCCACGCCUCCUCAAGUCGGAGGAAAUCAACUUGAGCUGCAGUGUGUUUCGCUCACCUCAGACUGCGGCAGAGCAGCCACCAGGAAUAGUUUUUGACUCAACAGUAAGAACUUUCUAACAGCUCUGGACAACGCUGGAAGGGGUUUCCUCCCCAGUGAGCUCCCUGCCCCUGGAAGCAUUUGAGUGGAGGGAUGGGACUGUUGCUCUGGAGGGGGUCUGAGUGGCUUGUGUUCUUAAUCAGGGGAAAGGUCCCCAGGAGAAAGGGCAGCAGGGCCAGCCCACGCACACCAGGCCCCCUACCCAGCACAGGAAGCUAGCAUUACCUCGAAAACGCUUCAUCCAGGCCAUCAUCCAGCUCCUUGGGGAAAACAAAGC
rnacentral:lncRNA from 1 species